UUUCCGUAGGUGAACCUGCGGAAGGAUCAUUACUGAGUGAGGGCCCCUCGGGGUCCAACCUCCCACCCGUGUUUAACGAACCUUGUUGCUUCGGCGGGCCCGCCUCACGGCCGCCGGGGGGCAUCCGUCCCCGGGCCCGCGCCCGCCGAAGCCACCUGUGAACGCUGUCUGAAGUAUGCAGUCUGAGACAAUUAUUAAAUUAAUUAAAACUUUCAACAACGGAUCUCUUGGUUCCG
rnacentral:misc_RNA from 1 species